rnacentral:rRNA from 1 species
UACGGGGGGGGCAAGCGUUGUUCGGAAUUACUGGGCGUAAAGGGCUCGUAGGCGGCCAACUAAGUCAGACGUGAAAUCCCUCGGCUUAACCGGGGAACUGCGUCUGAUACUGGAUGGCUUGAGAUUGGGAGAGGGAUGCGGAAUUCCAGGUGUAGCAGUGAAAUGCGUAGAGAUCGUGAGGAAGACCAGUGGCGAAGGCGGGUCUCUGGACAGUUCCUGACACUGAGGCACGAAGGCCAGGGGAGCAAACGGG